rnacentral:rRNA from 1 species
UACGAAGGGGCGAGCGUUGUUCGGAAUUACUGGGCGUAAAGGGCGCGCAGGCGGCUCAGACAGUCAGAUGUGAAAGCCCCGGGCUUAACCUGGGAACUGCAUUUGAUACUACUGAGCUUGAGUACGGGAGAGGAUAGUGGAAUUCCCAGUGUUAGAGGUGAAAUUCGUAGAUAUUGGGAAGAACACCGGUGGCGAAGGCGGCGACCUGGGUCCUUACUGACGCUGAGGCGACGAAAGCGUGGGGAGCAAACAGG